GGAUAUACUCUGAAGACAGUGAUGUGCUAGUUCAAGGUUUGCCUGUUGUGAGUAUUGUAUAUGUAACUCUUCAACCACGAGAAUCUAGGAAAGGAUGUCAAGUCCAACGAGAAGGCCAUAUAACAAAUGGUUGCUGAAUUCAUGAAGACUAGCUGGGAUGAUACAGUACUUUUCUACUCAUAUGAACCGUAUCUAAACAUCAUUUGAGGAUCCCUUUCUCAAAAAAAAAAAAGAAUUUGCAUAUUCAAAGACUCUAUAGUUCAUGUUUAUUUGUACGUUGUUUAACAUUCUUCUUGAGAAACUUUCACUCAUAUGGGAAUGCCAACAUUUGUCGGUGGAGAGCUGCAAAUUUUGUCCUUUACUUGGCACACAUAGCUAAUUGAACAAUGAGGGAUCUUUUUGGUACUAGCACCUACUGCAACACAGCACCUCUGUAUAUACAGUCUUAGCUAUGUCUGACUGUGGGAUUUUGAACCAGCAAUUUAUGGAUCAACUCCUUACUCAUUACUCUCGAGCAGAUGCUCUUGCCACUGUGCCAAGCAGGUGACUUCA